rnacentral:rRNA from 1 species
AUUGAACGCUGGCGGCAGGCCUAACACAUGCAAGUCGAACGAGUGGCGGACGGGUGAGUAAUGUCUGGGAAAUUGCCUGAUGGAGGGGGAUAACCACUGGAAACGGUAGCUAAUACCGCAUACCCUCAGAUGUGCCCAUAUGGGAUUAUCUAGUUGGUGGGGUAACGGCUCACCAAGGCGACGAUCCCUAUCUGGUCUGAGAGGAUGACCAGCCACACUGGAACUGAGACACGGUCCAGACUCCUACGGGAGGCAGGAGUGGGGAAUAUUGGACAAUGGGCGAAAGCCGGAUGCAGCCAUGCCGCGUGUAUGAAGAAGGCCUUCGGGUUGUAAAGUACUUUCAGCGGGGAGGCGUUACCCGCAGAAGAAGCACCGGCUAACUCCGUGCCAGCCGCCGCGGUAAUUC